CAGGUAGGACUACCCGCUGAACUUAAGCAUAU
rnacentral:rRNA from 6 species